rnacentral:snoRNA from 1 species
UGUCGGCGGUGAUGAUAAGCUUUAAUCCCAGCUCAUUAUGAGACCUUUGUGUAAGGUCUGGGAAAAUACUCUUACAUCUUUCUGAGCUUCACA